UUGCUCUUCAACGAGGAAUGCCUAGUAAGCGCAUGUCAUCAGCAUGCGUUGAUUACGUCCCUGCCCUUUGUACACACCGCCCGUCGCUACUACCGAUUGAAUGGCUCAGUGAGGCCUUCGGACUGGCUCGGAGAGGUUGGCAACGACCACUCCGAGCCGGAAAGNUUCGUCAAACUCGGUCAUUUAGAGGAAGUAAAAGUCGUAACAAGGUUUCCGUAGGUGAACCUGCGGAAGGAUCAUUACCUAGAGUUGUAGGCUUUGCCUGCGAUCUCUUACCCAUGUCUUUUGAGUACUUACGUUUCCUCGGCGGGUCCGCCCGCCGAUUGGACAAUUUAAACCAUUUGCAGUUGCAAUCAGCGUCUGAAAAACUUUAAUAGUUACAACUUUCAACAACGGAUCUCUUGGUUCUGGCAUCGAUGAAGAACGCAGCGAAAUGCGAUAAGUAGUGUGAAUUGCAGAAUUCAGUGAAUCAUCGAAUCUUUGAACGCACAUUGCGCUCUUUGGUAUUCCGAAGAGCAUGCCUGUUUGAGUGUCAUGAAACUCUCACCUCCAAUCUUUUUUAACUAGAAGGUUGGGGCGUGGACGUGAGUGCUGCUGGUGCCCUGGCUGCAUCGGCUCACUUGAAAUUCAUUAGCUGAAUCCUUUAAAGUAGGUUCUACUCGACGUGAUAAGAUCUCCGUCGAGGACAGUGCUUCGGCAUUGGCCAACGAUAAAGUUGAUACGCUUCUAAUUAGCGCAGACUUCGAGUGCUGGCAAUUUUGACAACUUGGCCUCAAAUCAGGUAGGACUACCCACUGAACUUAAGCAUAUCAAUAAGCGGAGGA
rnacentral:rRNA from 1 species